CGGCUUAGAGUUUGAUCAUGGCUCAGGAUGAACGCUGGCGGCGUGCUUAACACAUGCAAGUCGAGCGAAGCGCUUAAAUAGAUUUCUUCGGAUUGAAGUUUUUGUGACUGAGCGGCGGACGGGUGAGUAACGCGUGGGCAACCUGCCCCAUACCGGGGGAUAACAGCUGGAAACGGCUGCUAAUACCGCAUAAGCGCACAGUGCCGCAUGGCACGGUGUGAAAAACUCCGGUGGUAUGGGAUGGGCCCGCGUUGGAUUAGCCAGUUGGCAGGGUAACGGCCUACCAAAGCGACGAUCCAUAGCCGGCCUGAGAGGGCGACCGGCCACAUUGGGACUGGGACACGGCCCAAACUCCUACGGGAGGCAGCAGUGGGGAAUAUUGCACAAUGGGGGAAACCCUGAUGCAGCGACGCCGCGUGAGCGAAGAAGUAUUUCGGUAUGUAAAGCUCUAUCAGCAGGGAAGAAAAUGACGGUACCUGACUAAGAAGCCCCGGCUAACUACGUGCCAGCAGCCGCGGUAAUACGUAGGGGGCAAGCGUUAUCCGGAUUUACUGGGUGUAAAGGGAGCGUAGACGGGACAGCAAGUCUGAUGUGAAAGGCGGGGGCUCAACCCCCGGACUGCAUUGGAAACUGUUGGCCUGGAGUACCGGAGGGGUAAGCG
rnacentral:rRNA from 1 species